UUUCCGUAGGUGAACCUGCGGAAGGAUCAUUGUAGUAUAACCGAGGGGCGAGGGCUGUCGCUGACCCGACAGGUCGUGCACGCCCGAGUGCCCUCACACACAUCCAUCUCACCCCUAUGUGCACCACCGCGUGGGUCCCCCUUUGGCUUGUUCGGAGGGGGGCUUACGUUUUCACACAAACUUUGUAUGCAGUGUAGAAUGUAUUUUUUGUUUUUGCGAUCACGCAAUCAAUACAACUUUCAACAACGGAUCUCUUGGCUCUC
rnacentral:misc_RNA from 1 species